rnacentral:lncRNA from 1 species
GAACCCGCGCCCGCUCGCUUCGAAGCGUUUUUAGGCUACGCUACAGAAAUAUUUUUUUAUGGAAUAUAAAACCAGAGCCUCCCCCAGGAGGCGCCGCCGCCGGGCCCCGCUGGGGGAAGCCGCCUGCCGCUGACCUGGGCCCGAAGCCGCGGCGGCCGGGCGCUGCCUGAGGCGCCGCGUACCCCGAGGCUGCAAGAUCUUUAUUCCGCCUCCUUUCACCCUAAAAGCUUGCUGAAGUGCACUCUAAUAACAAAGGUGCUACAACACAUAUUUAAAGAUAAGGUUGAAGAAAAGGAACACUAUUUCAGGGUAAUGGUCUCCCGCUGGUAUCUAAGAGCUGAGGCAAGUACAUAUGUGAAAUAAAUGUCAAGAAAGCAUGUUUGCUUUUCAGUAAUGAUUACUUUAUUUCAGCUAUAUUAAGUGUAUGAUGUAAAUGUAAUUGUACUGUUUGCUAAAUGUUAGUACAGUAAAGAAAGAACAGCUCACCACCUUGACUUGCUUAAAUGUCAUGUAUUUCAAAAGAGCUUUUGUGUCUUUUGUUGAUUACAGACCAUUCUGUCCUUGAAGUUUAAGAUUAUGUAUUUUCAUGAGUUUAUCCUCCAUCUGAACAACUUCAUGUACCAGCUAAGGAACACCAUAAAGCACCUUCAGCUAAGCCUUUGAAGAUUGCCCUGUCACAAGUUUUCCGAAGCGCACUCUGUGUCUACCCCAGCCAUUAUCCCAUCAUCAGAGACAUUUGGAAGUUACUGUAGUACUCAGCAGAAUGAUCCUGCAGCUACUCUUCACAGGAAUGACAUCAAGACCUAACAAGAAGCAUGGGUGGAGCAAGAGAAGAUCUGCACUUGGAAGCACCCAUAAACCCACACAUUCUGGAUAUGAGGGAGGAGCACCCAUACGGCGUAGAUCUCCAGUGAGAACUGGGAGGGUAGGAGUCAGCUUAGCAAAGGAGGAAAAAGACAGUAACCAAGCAAACUAUACCACGGACAUUUCUGCUUUGUGGGAGAAGGCAUAGGCAAUUGGAUUUAACCAUCUGGGUGGAAUUUGUUUGGAUUAGCUCUGGCACAGUUUCAUGUACUCUUAAUUCAUCAGCGAAUGGAGAAACUAUACUGGAAAACUGCUGGGAAAAACAACAUUGUCCCUUAUGCUACUGUCGUAGGCAGAUAAAGCAUAACACCGUACAGUCUCUCUCUGUGUUUUUCUCUCUUCAUUGUCUCCCUGGCUAGUUUUCUUGUGCCAGUGCGUGUCUUCUCACAUCAGGAUUGGCUGCCUUUUCUUGGUGUGAGAUCUUGGCACAUAAAGAGCUAUAAUUACCCAAUAGUAUGGCUUGGUGAUUAUUAGCAAGGGUGGGAGUGCUCCUGCUUGAACAAUAAAAUCGCUUAUAUGGAAAAGCCA